rnacentral:rRNA from 1 species
GAUGAACGCUGGCGGCGUGCCUAAUACAUGCAAGUCGAGCGAACAGAUGAGGAGCUUGCUCCUCUGACGUUAGCGGCGGACGGGUGUGUAACACGUGGAUAACCUACCUAUAAGUCUGGUAUAACUUCGGGAAACCGGAGCUAAUACCGGAUAAUCUAUUGAACCGCAUGGUUCAAUAGUGAAAGACGGUUUUGCUGUCACUUAUAGAUGGAUCCGCGCCGCAUUAGCUAGUUGGUAAGGUAACGGCGUACCAAGGCAACGAUGCGUAGCCGACCUGAGAGGGUGAUCGGCCACCCUGGAACUGAGACACGGUCCAGACUCCUACGGGAGGCAGCAGUAGGGAAUCGUCCGCAAUGGGCGAGAGCCUGACGGAGCAACGCCGCGUGAGUGAUGAAGGUCUUCGGAUCGUAAAAAUCUGUUAUGAGGGAAGAACAAAUGUGUAAGUAACUAUGCACGUCUUGACGGUACCUAAUCAGAAAGCCACGGCUAACUACGUG